GGAGCUGUGCCUGAAAUAAAGGAUCACUUUGAUAGAGUGAAUUAUGGAGGUUAAAAUCCUCCCAACUCCU
rnacentral:tRNA from 2 species